GGCCUCCGGAGGCGGAGGCUGGAAGCCCUUCCAGGGCGCGGAGCGGCUGCCGCUGGACCCGGGUCCGGGCCCCCGUCCCCCCGCCGGGUCCCUGGCCCUCGGUCUGGGCCGCGAGGUGGCGGCAGCGCCGGAGCUGAGGGUGAGGCGUGUGCGCGUCGCGUGGCCUCUCAGAUGUCGGAUUUGCUCCGAGUUGACCGCUCGCCCACCGACUGUCCGAUCUCGGCCUACGUGGCGCCGGGUCAGCGGCGAGGAUCGGUGCCGCCGGCCUGUGGUCGGGGUCCGAGGCCGGGCGAACCGGUGACGGGCUGUCUCCACGUGAGCCCCGCAGCCUCGGCUCCCGUCCCUCCGUCGCCCGCCUGGAGCGGCGCGCGGGGCACCGCAGCUUCGGUCCGCAGAGGCCAGCACCUGAGGACCCGGAGGGCCUCCGCGCAGCUUGGGAUUGGCGCCGGCGCUGCAGGAGGGCGAGGAGGACAGAAUCCGGCUCAACUUGUGGUUUCAAUACUAAGAGUGGGCCCAGAGCUGUGUUGCUACAAACACGUCCGCGUCUGCAGACAGAAGUGGCUUGAGAACAGACCCAUCCUGGAGCAAGAUUCCCGUCCCAGAUGUGAGGUGGCGCGCAGACUACAGAGAAGGCGGGGACCGUGCCCACUGGCAGAGGUCAGACCGGGAUGGCCUCACUCCGGCAGCCACAUCAGCCGUAGACAUUUGCCGCAGCAAACGUUCUCCUCCAGCCACGAUGGGCACUGCUGCUAUGGCCUGAUCCCUGGAGUUCAAACAGCAUCUGUGGAGUUCCUGUAGGAGGCUUCCUUUCCUGGCUCUGGAAACCUUUUUCUGCAGCCCAGCUCCAGGACGCCGGCCUUGCAGGGAUGGCCCGUGCUGUUACAGGAGAAGGAGCCCGGCAUGGCCUGUGGAGGCGAGGACGGCCUGGAGGAGACCCCGCUGCCCUCAGUGACACCCUCAUCGGCUCCUCCUCUCGCAGGAUCCGGACUAAACCUCCAGCAGAUGCUGGCAGAGAAGCCGGCAGAAACCUCACUGCGCACCAACGCGCAUGCCCAGGACCCGCCAAUGAGCGCGCAGAACCGGCCCUUCUGUACGUCAUUCCUGUGCGCCUGUCCCGCCUGUGUAUGUGUUGAGGGCCCCGAGGGCCACUUCCCGGAGUCCGUCCGCGUUCCCCCCGUUACGGGAUCCUCCUCUCCACCCAGUCAGCCUUCCCCGGCCCCGGUCCCUCUGGCCCCGCCAGCAACUCCGCGGGAAACACGGGUUUCCCUCCGAGAUUGGGGCCCGGUGUCUCCGGCCAGCAGAGGGCAGUGGAGGGCCGUGCGCGGGCCAGCCCCCUCCGCCCCGCCUUUCGGUAUGGAAAAAACACGGGCGCAGCGAGCAGGGGAAAGUCCUUAGGGCCCUUUGCACAGCGGCCCGCACACUCUUCCCGCAGCUCCUGGGCACGGUGGUUCAUUCCUGCAGUGGCCAGUGAGCGGUUUCCUCUGUGAUCAAAACCACUUGCUUUCCAAAUGGACGAUUCUUCCAAAGUCCUUCCUGGGUUCCUUAGCAACUUGCAGUCCCGCGACUCUGAAGGCCAGAGUCACCGCCUUUCCCCAACUGUUUGGGGUUUUCUGGGCCUUUUCAAUACAGUGUUCAAUAAUGACAGUCACCCAGACCUCACUAGGAGACAUAGUAAUUCAAACGACAGCCCCAUCACCCAAUAUUGACCAUUAGGAAUAUUUUGUGAUCAGUUUCUUAGAGAUCUUGCACCAAACACCAGGUUCAUUUUAAAUAUACUAAGGGUCAUUUUUGCAUCACGACUUCACCUCCUCUUUUUAAACUCAGUUAUUCCUUUUGGAAAGUCAUUUUUAGAUUUUUAGUUACGUUACUGAAAAAAUAAGGGAGGCAUCUUGCAAACUGUUGGCAGUGUCUGUAACUGUGAAGUUGAAGGUGCCGUGGCCUAUGAUCCAGAAGCAGCAGAGCCCGUGUGUGAGAGCAGGGGCUGCAGUGCGGGUGGGCUGCACUCUUCCCUAGGCGCCAGGAAUAGUACCAGCACUUAGCCGGGCUCAGGAAAUACUGGGAGAUGUUUUCAAAAGUUUACUUUUGUGAUCGUUUUUAUUUUUAUAUAUCUAAGAUCCAUCUUUUGCUAGUCCUCAAUUAUUAUAAUGUACAAACAGUUUUCUACAUGUUUGCUUUUUUUUUAAUUUGGCCCUUUGUGGAUCAGCAUUCCUCUAAGUCAUUAGCAUUUCUUAACAUCUGAUUUUCUGACUUACAUUCCUGGGUAAGGGCAUGGAGCAGUAUGUAGCAACUUGUAGGCUCCUGUGCAAGGCAAAUUGUCUAAAAUGUGGGUGUGUAUUUAUUCAAAAAGUUUUCAUACCAGUAUUGUUUAUAUUUCUAAAACCGUGUAGGUGGAGUGGACAAAACAUUUGGCUCAGUAUCAGCAAAGUUGAAUUUCAAGAAAAUACAGGAAUAGCAUACUAUCAACCAUAAAAACUUCACAAUGACUGUAAAAAUGAAAGUGAUAUGCAAAACAUGUUGAAACUGUUUGGGACGUGGGUGAUUAUUCUUCCUUUGUCUUUUCUCUGUCUUCUUAAAUGGCUAAAAUCAGACCAAUUUCCCUUAGGGCCUGAGGGGAAAAUAAUGGAGUGACUAAAUGGUAAAUUUCAGUGGGUUCUGUAAAUCCCCAGGCCCACUGGACAGAAGCAGGGAGCAGUUGGCCCUUACCAUGGGGAUAAUAAAGUAAGGAUGCUGGAGGACAGACAAAACAAGUGGAUUUCCUAUGUUGAAAAUAUAAUGUUAAGCAAAAACAAAGCCAAAAAGAUAGCUCCCUUCCUUAGGAAGGUAACAGUAUAGUGCAGCCGUGGGCAAACUACGGCCCGCAGGCCCGAUCCGGCCCGUUUGAAAUGAAUA